GCGACCUUCUUGCUGCGAGGCAACAGUACUAACCAACUGCGCCACCUUGCAGCCCAUUCUGAAACAUUUGUGGAAGAAAUAACUUAAACAGGUUAAAAGUUUUACAGCAGCUUCAGACUGUGCUUCAGCAAUAAUUAUGAGGAAAUAUGUCAGCAGUCCUUGAUGAUUAGACCAGAUGGAGUAGUUGAUACAGUCAAGACAGUUAUAGUGUUUUGUUCCACAGCCAUCAUUAUGUCUUUAAAUGUCAUUAAUCUAAUUUCUUCAUCAGCAAAAUGUCACAUACAUAGCAGCAAAUUCCCCAAACAGAAACCACCUUUACUGAGUUAAUGUGUGAUUUAAAAUGUGAUCUCCACAGGCUGUAAUGCUGUACAGGUCAAACUGUGUGAAAACUACAGCCAUAUGUCAUGAAUUUAAUCUGUCAUCUGUUUGUUCCUCAUCAGUGAUUUAUUUCUUGAUGCAUUAUUGGAAAUGCUAAACUUGUUUUAAACUCCAUAUUGAUCGUAAAUAAACUUUAAACAACUGUCUGCA